rnacentral:rRNA from 1 species
GACGAACGCUGGCGGCGUGCUUAACACAUGCAAGUCGAACGGAAAGGCCCUGCUUUUGUGGGGUGCUCGAGUGGCGAACGGGUGAGUAACACGUGAGUAACCUGCCCUUGACUUUGGGAUAACUUCAGGAAACUGGGGCUAAUACCGGAUAGGAGCUCCUGCUGCAUGGUGGGGGUUGGAAAGUUUCGGCGGUUGGGGAUGGACUCGCGGCUUAUCAGCUUGUUGGUGGGGUAGUGGCUUACCAAGGCUUUGAAGGGUAGCCGGCCUGGGAGGGUGACCGGCCACAUUGGAACUGAGAUACGGCCCAGACUCCUACGGGAGGCAGCGGUGGGGAAUAUUGCACAAUGGGCGGAAGCCUGAUGCAGCAACGCCGCGUGCGGGAUGACGGCCUUCGGGUUGUAAACCGCUUUCGCCUGUGACGAAGCGUGAGUGACGGUAAUGGGUAAAGAAGCACCGGCUAACUACGUG